rnacentral:rRNA from 1 species
UACGGAGGAUCCAAGCGUUAUCCGGAUUCAUUGGGUUUAAAGGGUGCGUAGGCGGAAUGAUAAGUCAGUGGUGAAAUCCUGCAGCUUAACUGCAGAACUGCCAUUGAUACUGUCAAUCUUGAGUAUAUUUGAUGUGGGCGGAAUGUGUCAUGUAGCGGUGAAAUGCUUAGAUAUGACACAGAACACCGAUUGCGAAGGCAGCUCACAAAAACUAUAACUGACGCUGAGGCAC